rnacentral:miRNA from 1 species
UUCUCCUCCCUUCGCACGGCGCA